UACGGAGGAUCCAAGCGUUAUCCGGAAUUACUGGGCGUAAAGAGUUGCGUAGGUGGCAUAGUAAGUAGAUAGUGAAAGCGUGGGGCUCAACCUCAUAUCCAUUAUCUAAACUGCUAAGCUAGAGGGCGAGAGAGGUAACUAGAAUUCCUUGUGUAGGAGUGAAAUCCGUAGAUAUAAGGAGGAAUACCGAUGGCGUAGGCAGGUUACUGGCUCGUCCCUGACACUAAGGCACGAAAGCGUGGGGAGCAAACGGG
rnacentral:rRNA from 1 species